AGAAGAAGAGAAAAAAGAGAGAAUGACUGUGUGAGCGAUGCUGGAGUGACGUUAUCAUUGAUAGAUUAGUUUUCAGUCUUGCAAUUUGUAAAUCGACUGAAUGGUCAGGAGAGUUCGUUAAGACCCUUGGUGCUAUUAUCAGAAGAGCCGCACCCACUUAUACAACCCUUGGUCAUCAACCCCAUGAAACUAACCAUCCUCCUACCAACUCGUCUGGAUGUCUAUAUGUAUUUAUAGAACAUGCGAUAGGUUUCAAGAAAAAUACUUCGCUAAUUUGGUAAAAGUUCCCUAAUUUGGAAUACCUUUCCUAAAUUAUAAAAGAGGAAUUGAGCCAGAUUCUAUCUUCAUAAGGGCAAUUGGAAUGAGGAUGUGCGUAGGAUCAGUGUGCACGUAACAGAGGAACAUAAUUCAUGAUAAAAGGCGCAUUCACUUUAAUUUAUAACAGUAAUAAGAACCGAAAGUCAGUGAUUUUUUUUCCAAGAGGAUUAUAAUGAGAUUAUUACCGUUUUUCUCCCAAAAAUUAGAUGCAUUUUUCGUUUCUUCAAAUUCUCUCAUAUAAUUAUU